CUCGGUCUCCCGUGCGGUGCCCUGAGCGCUGGAGGCUGACGUCAGGGGCCUGAAUUCCUGACUUUGCCUGCACGCAUUUGUCCAUGUAAGAUCACCCACGUGGCUACAGCUUGUAACUUGAAGUGCUGAGAUGGCUCGGGCUGCCGGAGCUGCUUCCUUUCAGCAGGAUGGCUCCCACAAAGCAGAAAGGUGAGAAGAGCUCUCUUGCUAUCAAUGAAGUGGUGACCCCAGAACAUGUGCUCAACAUACUGAAGUGCAUCUAUGGAGAACAGGGCAGGUGAUUGACCUAGGAAUUUAAGCUGUCACUUGGAAUGCCCACCUCCUGUAUCAGAGUACCUGCAAUGGAAGCCUGCCUCCACUUCCUGUCUGGCUUCCUGCUAAAGCACCUGUGAGGCUCAGUGAGUGGCUAAAGUAUUUGAGUCCCUGCCACUCAUGUGGAAAAUCUGGAUGGAAUUUCUGGCUCCAGCCUGGCCUAGCUCCUGCUGUUACAGAUAUUUGUGGAGUGGACCAGCAGAUGGAAGCUCCCUGUCACUUUCAAAUGAUAAAAAUAAGUAAAUAAACAUUGAAGACAAACAAGCAUGCCCUUCAGACAUUCAAAGAGAUCCAGAAAUUUGCCAGGGAGGAUAUGGGGACUUUAGAAGUGCACGUUGAUAUCAGGCUCACAAAGCUUCUGAACCAAAAGAGGAAGAAAUGUCUCACCAUAUCCAUGCGUAACUAUCCAGAAAAUGUAAUGGGGAUGAAGAUUCACCUAACAAGCUCUGACUAUGGUUACCUAAGUACCCACCACCACUUUCAAAAGCCUACAGAUAUUCAAUGAGGAUGAAAACAUACCACUGAUUGUCAAAUAAUUUAACAAAACUGGAAAAAAAUUCAGUUGACUCUAGUCAUGUGGGUCUAUUUCUGGGCUCUGCAUUUUGCUCCUUUGAUUUAUUUUUUGUCUUUUCGUUCGCCUGUGCUGAAGUGCCUUGGUUACUGUAGCCUUCCAAUAAUUUUUACAGAUGGGCAGUGUCAACGCUCCAAUUUUGUUCUUUAAUAACAUGUUGGCUGCUCCGGGUCUUUCGUUUAUCCAUAUCAACUUUAGAAUCAGUUUGUUGACAUCUAUGAAAUAAUUUGCUGGGAUUUUGGAUGGGGUCAUGUUGAAGCUACAGAUCGAAUUGACUUCCUGAUAAUGUUGCAUUUUCCUAUUCAUAUACAUGGACUAUCUCUCCAUUAAUUUAAUUAUCCUCCAUUGAUUCCACUUGGCAAGUUUGGCAGUUGUCCUAAUGCUGAUCAUGAGAAUUUUUGUCAUUUGGUACCUAAUUAUUUCAUUUUUGCAGUGCUAAUAUAAAUGAUCCUUAGAGUUUUUAAAGUGUAGGCAGUAUUACGGGGCAGGUCUAUGAUAUUUUUCAGAUUAAAACCUAAAAAUUGAGAAACUGCUGUCUUACGUAAUAUUGAACCUGAAGCAUCUAGUGGUAGAGGGGCACUCAAUGGGGUCAUUGUGGCAAUGUCGCGUGUGGCAGAAGAAAGCCAUUUGCAGCUUAGACUGUACGAAGGAAAUAACUUUUCCAAUCCCAAAGAAUUUUAAACUCUUCUUCCUUGCCACACCUUCCAUGCAGGGAAGGGGGCAACAAAGGAGCAGUCUGUGCUCAGCAUGCAUAUUCAGGGCAUGGAGACUGCUUGCAUCAUCCAAGCACUCUGUUUCUUUAGCAGAGAUAAAGACAGGGUUCUUGCCAUAGCCUUCCGGCCUGAAAUGCUCUGAGCUCUGAAGCCAUACAAUCAGCCUCUCCUCUGCCUGGUCACACUGGCUUGACAUAUACUUCUUCCUCGGGGCCUUUGCAAAUAACUCUUUCUUACCCUCAUUGGCCAACCCCACAGAUCACUUUCUUCAUCUUUCCAGGACAGACCUCGCAGAGCUCUGUCUACCUGUGAGCACUUGUCGGAUUGUGUUUUGCAUUUAUUUACAUGAUUAGCUGACGACCAGGCUGUAAGUUCCACAGAGGCAGGCAUCAGGUCACUUUUGCCCACCAUGCGGUCCCCUUGCCAGACUUAUAGAGUGAGUAGAUGAUUGAUUGGCUAUCCUACAGAAACAUGAACUCCAUAUUUUUUACAUGAGAGAAUGAGGCCACUCAGUGCCUCAUGGCUAUCAUCUUAGAGAACUCUUCUUGGUAUUGUGAUAUGUAUAGACAACAAGUCUGAGUGAGUCCACACCCAAUGUAAUCAAUAUUCUAGGUUUCCAGAGUAGUGAAACUGAUCCGGUAGCUUCCUUUCCACAUGUUUGAAUGAAGCUUGUACAGUGUGGGUCAAUAUCAAUUCCCAUUUGAAAAUUUAUUUAGCAAACACUUAUUGUCCAUAUACUGUGUGUUAAAUGAGAGUCCUGUAUGGAAGUUCUCAGUCACAAUCCCCCUGUAGAAGGUUGGUGUCGGGGGUGGAGCCGCAUUUGGGCAGGGGUCAGGGGCUGUAAAUUGUUGUUUGGGACCCAAUCUAGUCUGUAUUUUUUUUUUUUUCUUCUUGGAUGCACAAGGCAUUCUGAAUCUUUUUGACCCACAUAACUCAGGCGGGUUCUGCACAUUUUGUCCCUUGAGCCUCCUGCCACUCCCUACUGCCCCACACCUGGCGUAGAAUUUAUUGCGGUUUUACUGCCUGCUUGGCCCCUAGGUGUAUCCAGUUUCUGACCCUUGGUUGGGUCCAGUCCUCUGGGAUCAGAGGCUGAUGGGAGAGAUAGACUGUUUUUCACAUUCCUGCUUUGUCUAGGAAACUGAGGGAGGCACAUGGUUGGAUCAGCCCUGGUGCCCAAGAACUCCGAGUGCAGUCAAGGAGGUGAUAUCCACAUAAACGAGCAGAGUCCUGUGUCCCCCAGCAGCAGCUAAAGCAGCUGUGAAAACAGACUGGAACAUGUGCCUCUGCGUCCUUGUUCUUGCUCAUGGCACAGCAGAGACCACAUAGGCGUUUCAUUUGCCCUCAUUCAGAGACAUUAAUGGUGACUCUGUUGCUGCGUGAUCCUGGACAAGGCACUGCAGCUUCAACUCUUGAAGUUGAUAUUCGAGAUGAAAGUAUUGUGAAGCUUAAAAAAUACUGCACACAAACGAUUGGUGUAAGAUAUCAUUUAGAAGAGACAAUCAUUUAACGGUGAGUUCAAAUUCUGCUUUAUGGAGACUGUUGCAGAAUAUUUUUGCCAGUAGGAAGCUCAGUAGGGGAUCAGGCGAUCCUCGUCUUUGCCUAGCCACCAGCUGCCCAGAACAUUUUGUGCCGGCAACAGGUCUGGCCAUGUGACUGCUUCUCCUUCUUGGCUGUUCCCACUGGCAGGCAGUGAAUAGCAAGAGACACCCUCCAUAAUGCUGAGACCUUUUCCCAUGGAGCACAGCGGGAAGAAUGCUCUGUGUCUUUGCAAGGCCUGGCCCUCUUCUGGAGCCAGUUCCGCCGGAGACACAGAGAACCGAAUUGUUUUAUGUUCUUCAGGUCCCUCUUUGGUGGCCACUAAAACCCUCCUUUACCGUAGUGAGUCAAAGGCUUUGACAAGUCAGCGUCUGACAGUCUCACCGGUUGCAGGUGUACUCAGAGUGGCAAGCUUACAGACUGAGAGAGCGUCAAAGCAGGGAGGUGCCCCGGGCUUAUUUGUCCAACUCCAUUGCUUUGGAGCUGCAGGAUUGGGUUCCAAAGAGACAAACAUAGAAUUCCUGCCUUCUGCCCUGACACCAUGCAGCCUUCCAUGUGUGGAAAGAAAUGUUGAGCACAGAUGUGUGGUCUGUACAUGGUUCCACUAGUGUCAAUUAUUACAUGGGAUAGAACAUCAGACUUGGCCCAAAAUAGUGUGCGGUAGGGGGUGGGCAGUGACCAGUGACGUGGUAGCUCAUAUAACUGAGAGGCCAGGAGGACGCCUGGCUUGGGCGUGCUUUGUUUGUGCUUAUCCUCCUUCCAUGCCCUAUGCCUCUUUCUUUAGAGCACCCCCAUCCUGAACCUCUUCUUCUCUCAGAAGUUUCUGGGGCUACUUCCUUUUGGGAUCAUAGGCCAGGGGCAACCAGGAAGUUCUCUGUCUCCGCCUUCUCUGCAAAAAUCUCAAAAGUUCACUCUGACUGGACUUCUCGUGUUACGUGCCAUCCUGCGAACCAAUCCCUGGGGCUGUGGGCUGCAACAUGCCCAGUGACGUAUGCCUGGGUCACACCCUCCAUUCCGUGGCUUUGGGGUGGGACCUGCUCAGACCCUGUGGGUUGACAUUGGGUUGCUAUGACAAAAGGGGUAUAGAGUUCUCUGGCCAAAAAAUGAAAAAUAUCCUCUGCCCCUCGUCAGGGCUUCUGUGUCUGAUAAUAAAUUCUUUGCGUCUGGUUCUUCAGAUGUCCCAUCUUCCCAAAUUAGGGAUUGCUUUGCUGUCUAGCAAGCAGUGCAAUUGUGACAGGAGAAAUUAACUGGCAGCUGGAGCAUCCCUGGGUUCAGGUAGCAUGACAUCCCACUGUUGAUCUGUUAACCCAGGUCUGUUCUGAGUGUGCUUCUACUAAAUAAAAAAUGAGACAAGAAAGCAAAUAAACAAAGCUGGAAAGGCCUACUCUUUCAGAAUGCUGAGGAAGUCUGACUAAACACAUCCUAACAUACAUCAGGCGCUAUUGCAACUGGAAAUAUGAGGGGUUUUCAAAAAGUUCAUGGAAUUGCCCCAGUUGCCCCUCUUCCAGGCCAGCUCUCUGCUAUGGCCCAGGAGUGCAGUGGAGGAUGGCCCAAGUGUUUGGGCCCUGCACCCCAUGGGAGACCAGGAAAAGCACCUGGCUCCUGCCUUCGGAUCAGCGCGAUGCGCCAGGCCACAGCGUGCCGGCCGCGGUGGCCAUUGGAGGGUGAACCAACGGCAAAAAGGAAGACCUUUCUCUCUGUCUCUGUCUCUCUCACUGUCUACUCUGUCAAAAAUAAAAAAAUAAAAAUAAAAAAAAGGAAAAAAAUUUCAUGGAAUUGCAUAUUAUGAGAAACUAUAUAUAGAUUUCAAAAUGUUUUUGUUUUGCACCCGGGGCUGUGAUGUAGUAGGUUAAGUUGCUGCCUGCUGUGCCAGCAUCCCAUGUGGGUACCAGUUAGAGUCCUAGCUUGCCCACUUUCAAUCUAGCUCCCUAAUAAUGGGCCUGGGAAAGCAGCAGAAUAUGGUUCAAUCCUUGGGCCCCUGCACCCACAUGGGAAAUUUUCAUGAAGCUCCUGGCUCCUGGUUUCAGCCUGGCCCAGCUCUGGCCAAUUUGGCCAUUUGGGGAGUGGACCAGCAGAUGGAUGGGAGAGUCUCUCUCUUUCUUUCUCUCUGUAACUCUGCCUUUCAAAUAAAUAGAUAAAAUUUUUUAAAAAAUUUUUUGCACUAAAAUAAACAUCUUUUUAAGCAAAUGGUAUUUAAAAAUAUUUAUUGACUUAAAGAGUAGAGAGACAGAAACACACACACAUAGAAAGAGCUCUCAUUCUCUAGUUUACCCUUCAGAUGUCUGUGCAGCCAGGACUGGGCCAAGCUGAAGCCGGGAGCCAGGAACUCCAUCUAAGUCUCCACGUGGGUGGUAGGGACCCAGUUACUUGAGCCAUCACCACAGCUUCCCAGGAUCUGCAUUAGCAAAAUCCCAAAGUUCGCUAUCUGUUUAGGAAGCACAUUCAUGACAACCACUUCAUACUAUGGAUGAAGACACAGGACUGCAUAUCCUCAUUUUCCAGACAGGAAAGUGAGGCUGAAAGGGCUGAGCAACUUGCCAGAGGUCGCUCAGGUUGUCAGCCCAGACCUCAGAAGCCAACUAGCACUUUGUCUUCCUGCUAUAUUGUGCUUCUUGUAGAGAAGGGCAGCACACGUUAGCUAUUAAUGUGUUUGAUUAUUUCCCACUUGAAAGGGAAACAUCAUAUUCAAAAUGCAAAUUAACAUUGACAGUGCACAUUAUUUUUACUAGCAGAU